rfam:TPA: Bos taurus chromosome 23, whole genome shotgun sequence.
UCCCUGGUGGUCCAGUGGUUAAGAUUCCGUGCUGCCACUGCAGGGGGCUCAGGUUCGAUCCCUGGUCAGGGAA